GGGGAUGAUCGGCUUCGACAACUGAUCCACUCUUUCAUGUGCAUAUCGAGUAUGAAUGUAAUCUCGCAAAACUUCAUUCACAAGAUUAAGUGCAAACUCAAUCUUUUCAGCAAAGUCACCAUACUUUAGUAUGAAUGAACUUGCUCCAGCAUACGCUUAAGCGAUAGUUGGUGUCUUAUCUGAGGAGUCCUGAUAGUUAGAUAAGGCAUAAUAUCAUCAGGAUAGAUUUUGAAACAUUUCUCGCUUCAAUUUCAAACCAAUUGAGAAUCGAUGUAUAUAUAUUUUGUCUUCUUCUUAGUAUAUAUAUUUAAAUCACAAAAGAAGACUAUAUAUGUAGAAGCAUUUACGAGCAUCUUUUGCACGGCGGUUCAAUUCCGCCCAUCUCCACAA
rnacentral:tmRNA from 1 species